GGCCGCCUGGCGAAAUGGCAUCGCGUCUGACUACGAUGAGCUUUGUUGAUUUCAAAUCAGGAGAUUGCAGGUUCGACCCCUGCGGUGGUCA